GCUGAAAAGUAAAAUAAAACAAAAAAUAAUUACGAUAAAAAGGUGGGAAAAAACAAAGCUUUGUCUCAACAUUAUCCAAAACUUAAUUACAGCGUUGAAACCGAAACCCCGAUCUCGUUCGUCGCUCUUUCCUAUUCUCUAGAUGAUGAUGAUGGCUCGAUCUCUUUCUCUCUCUAAAGGCCGUCUCGCCACCGCCGCUGCAUCGUCCUCUCUCCUCCCUUCAUCAUCACACCUCGUCUCUUCCCGAUCACAAUCCUCCCGUCGCCGUGUCGAUCUGUACGAAAUCGAUACCGCUGAGGCGUCGCAAUCGCCGUCUGAUCCUUUGAUUCAGAAGCUAGAGGACGCCGUUCACCGGAUAUUCGUACGCCGAUCUGCUCCUGAUUGGCUCCCUUUUGUUCCCGGUGCUUCGUAUUGGGUGCCUCCUUCUGGAUCUGGAACCCAGUCUAAUGGAAUCGCUCAGCUCGUUGUGAAGCUCGCGAAUCCGUUAACCGACGAAGGAUCUUUAUCUGCGAAUUCUUCUCAUGGAUGGCCUUCCUCUGAUUAUUUCCUUAAAGGUUCUGAUUGGGAUGUGAUUUAUAUUUAGAGAAUCAUUAUUCAUUAGGGAGUAGCGAAUGUGGUGGAACAGGUGGUACACCUAAGUUGAUGGAGAACAUGACCGACAACACAGUUUCAACUACUGAGUCUCACUCCGAGGACGAGGAAGUGUAAAACAUAACCCCACUUCUCGUUUGGGGAUCUGUAGAUUUGUCAAGUGCAGGAGCCACCGGGACAAUGAAUUCAGACGUCCAAGAGCAAGUGCAAAGAUGCGAUAUAGACGAACCAUCUUUCUCUAUCUGAUCCCGAAAUGUGGGAAAAUUGAAUAAAGAGUAGUUUGUUGUAGGUUUGUAGCAUUUCCUUCUGUUUUAAAUUUGUAACCUGUUCCUUUUCAACAGUUGGUGUGUAUAUAUAUUUCUCUUUCCUUGCUCUUUCAGUUAUUAACAAGUUGUUUAUGUUAAUUAGAAAUAUGAGGUAAUCUAACAUGGUACGGUUUUUAUA